rnacentral:lncRNA from 1 species
AAAUAUUCAUUGCAUCACUCAACAACAACCAGCACCUCCAUCUUGAGUAGUAUUGUCUAGAGCUGUGAAAUGCAUACUGAUGGCUUGAAAUAUGUACACCAGCUGCUCCAUUUGGGCUUAAUGGCAGAGAUAUUAAUAAUCAUGAGAAAUCAACUUUGUAUUUUAUCAAUUUUAUUGUUUUCUUGGACCAAUCUUACUGUAACCUUAAGGGAAAAUAAAAAAUAAAAAAUAAAAACUCGAGACUUUGUCCAGGGUUAUUAUUAU